rnacentral:rRNA from 1 species
UAGAGUUUGAUCCUGGCUCANAGUGAACGCUGGCGGCGUGCUUAACACAUGCNAGUCNAACGANAACGGGUUAUAGCUUGCUAUAACUGUCAGCUAAGUGGCGCACGGGUGAGUAAUAUAUAGGUANUGUGCCUUAGAGAAGAGAAUAAUUGUUGGAAACGACUUGUAAUGCUCUAUAUGCCCUUAAUACAAAAGUAUGCAGGGGAAAUAUUUAUAGCUCUAAGAUCGGCCUGUACGGUAUCAGCUUGUUGGUGAGGUAAUGGCUCACCAAGGCUAUGACGCCUAACUGGUUUGAGAGGAUGAUCAGUCACACUGGAACUGAGACACGGUCCAGACUCCUACGGGAGGCAGCAGUGGGGAAUAUUGCACAAUGGACGAAAGUCUGAUGCAGCAACGCCGCGUGGAGGAUGACACAUUUCGGUGCGUAAACUCCUUUUAUAUGAGAAGAAAAUGACGGUAUCAUAUGAAUAAGCGCCGGCUAACUCCGUGCCAGCAGCCGCGGUAAUACGGAGGGCGCAAGCGUUACUCGGAAUCACUGGGCGUAAAGAGCGUGUAGGCGGGUAUUUAAGUUGGAAGUGAAAUCCUUUGGCUUAACCAAAGAACUGCAUUCGAAACUGCUAGACUUGAGUUUGGGAGAGGAGAGUGGAAUUCCCGGUGUAAGAGUGAAAUCUGUAGAUNUCGGGAGGAACACCAGUGGCGAAAGCGACUCUCUGGCCCAAAACUGACACUGAAAUACGAAAGCUAUGGGAGCAAACAGGAUUAGAUACCCUGGUAGUCAUAGCCGUAAACGAUGAGCACUAGGUGUGGGAUCCUUUGGAUUCUGCGCCGCAGUUAACACAUUAAGUGCUCCACCUGGGGACUACGGCCGCAAGGUUGAAACUCAAAGAAAUUGACGGGGACCCGCACAAGCGGUGGAGCAUGUGGUUUAAUACGACGCUACGCGUGGAACCUUACCAGGGCUUGAAAAGUGCAUGAAAUCCAGAUGAAAGUUUGGACCUCCUUUCCGGGACAUGCAUACAGGUGUUGCAUGGCUGUCGUCAGCUCGUGUCGUGAGAUGUUGGGUUAAGUCCCGCAACGAGCGCAACCAUCGUCCUUAGUUGCCAUCAGUUCGGCUGGGCACUCUAGGGAGACUGCCGGCGAUAAGCUGGAGGAAGGUGGAGAUGACGUCAAGUCAGUACGGCCCUUACGUCCUGGGCUACACACGUGCUACAAUGGUCAAUACAAUGGGCUGCAAUAUCGUAAGAUGGAGCUAAUCCUAAAAGUUGACCUCAGUUCGAAUUGAGGGCUGCAACUCGCCCUCAUGAAGUUGGAAUCGCUAGUAAUGGUACAUCAGCCACGGUACCGUGAAUACGUUCCCGGGUCUUUUACACACCGCCCGUCAAGUCACCUGAGUUGACUGCACCCGAAGUCGCUGGCCUAACCUGCAAGGGGAGGAGGCGCCGAAGGUGUGGUUGGCAAGGAGGACUAAGUCGUAAGCAAGGUAACCA